rnacentral:rRNA from 1 species
GGGUGUCACACAGGUGCUGCAUGGCUGUCGUCAGUUCGUGCCGUGAGGUGUUUGGUUAAGUCCAGCAACGAACGCAACCCCUGUGUCCAGUUGCCAGCGCGUAAUGGCGGGGAACUCUGGACAGACUGCCCGUUCACACGGGAGGAAGUGGGGAUGACGUCAAGUCAGUAUGGCCCUUACAUCUGGGGGCUGCACACGUGCUACAAUGGCCGGCACAAAGGGAAGCCAAGCCGCGAGGCCGAGCCAAUCCCCAAAACCGGCCCCAGUUCAGAUUGGGGUCUGCAACCCGACCCCAUGAAGUCGGAUUUGCUAGUAACGGCGCAUCAGCUACGGCGCCGUGAAUACGUUCCCGGGCCUU